GAUGACAUGAAGUGAGGUGAGUGACGGAGGCAUUGUGAUGUAAUAUUGGGUCACUACUAACCUGACAAAGGCCAGAAGGAGGAUCCUCUACUUCUGGGCCAGGGCUGACCACAGCCUGCAAUCCCAUGAAGAUCAAAGCCAGUUUGCUAUUCUGCAUUAACAUUUCUGUGAUCAGAUAUAACGUGAGCACCUCGAUUCUAUCUGUGUCAAGAUAUCUUCACACAAGUGACUCAUCUGGUAAAAGCUCAGGCACUGAACACUGCUCUGACAACCAUCUCCUUUGAGGUUGAUUCCACGUUGGUGGUGUUACAAGCCAACGUCCUGUUCAGCUGCUUUCCUCUGCAACACAACACUGUAAUUAAAACUGACUAAACAAUAAAUCUCAAUUUCCCUGUUC